AAGUGAACUUUAGUUAAUGUUCACUUUAAGUUGAUUAUGAAACCGGGCGUUACCAUCAGUGCUACAUUCUAAGCACAAAACUGAACCAAUUUAACUAAAUAAGUUAUAGUUAUCAUCUGAGAGACAACAACAAUGGUAAAAUGCAAUAAAAUAUAAAGAUUUUACUAGCAAAAUGGAAAUUCCCCUGUAAUCAUCUUAUAUCUGGAAAACCAGCCGACUUAACUGAUAAUAACAAUCCAGAUUGGGUUCCUUCAAUAAAUAUGGGGUAUAUAAACACAAUGAAAUGAGUUCCCCAAAAUCUAAAAUGGGAAUUAAGGUACCAAAGGAGAAUUAAAAGAAAAGGGUACCUACAAGAAAAAAUUGCUUUUUUAUUCCUCUUGAAAUGAUUUAUAAGACACUGGACUGUCUUAUAUUCUACAAAUACUAGGUAGGUCUAUGAUUUUACACAUUUUUCAUUAAUGAUACAUUACUGUUACUUUAGUAGAUUUAGAAACAGUGGAUAGUUAGUGGUAGAUAGCAGUUAUUUGGUAUAAAAGCUAGUUUAGUAGAAGACAAGAUUUUGCCAAAUAGUCAAACAUAUAUUACAAUGGAAAAAA
rnacentral:lncRNA from 1 species